rnacentral:rRNA from 1 species
AUAAUGGGUCAGCGACUUAUAUUCUGUAGCAAGGUUAACCGAAUAGGGGAGCCGAAGGGAAACCGAGUCUUAACUGGGCGUUAAGUUGCAGGGUAUAGACCCGAAACCCGGUGAUCUAGCCAUGGGCAGGUUGAAGGUUGGGUAACACUAACUGGAGGACCGAACCGACUAAUGUUGAAAAAUUAGCGGAUGACUUGUGGCUGGGGGUGAAAGGCCAAUCAAACCGGGAGAUAGCUGGUUCUCCCCGAAAGCUAUUUAGGUAGCGCCUCGUGAAUUCAUCUCCGGGGGUAGAGCACUGUUUCGGCAAGGGGGUCAUCCCGACUUACCAACCCGAUGCAAACUGCGAAUACCGGAGAAUGUUAUCACGGGAGACACACGGCGGGUGCUAACGUCCGUCGUGAAGAGGGAAACAACCCAGACCGCCAGCUAAGGUCCCAAAGUCAUGGUUAAGUGGGAAACGAUGUGGGAAGGCCCAGACAGCCAGGAUGUUGGCUUAGAAGCAGCCAUCAUUU